GAUGAACGCUAGCUACAGGCUUAACACAUGCAAGUCGAGGGGUAGCAGGGUAGCAAUACCGCUGACGACCGGCGCACGGGUGAGUAACACGUAUCCAACCUUCCCAUAACUCGGGGAUAGCCUUUCGAAAGAAAGAUUAAUACCCGAUAGUACUUAUAUAGGGCAUCCUACAUAAGUUAAAGAUUUAUUGGUUAUGGAUGGGGAUGCGUUCCAUUAGAUAGUUGGUGAGGUAACGGCUCACCAAGUCUUCGAUGGAUAGGGGUUCUGAGAGGAAGGUCCCCCACAUUGGUACUGAGACACGGACCAAACUCCUACGGGAGGCAGCAGUGAGGAAUAUUGGUCAAUGGGCGAGAGCUUGAACCAGCCAAGUAGCGUGAAGGAUGAAGGUCCUAUGGAUUGUAAACUUCUUUUAUAGUAGAAUAAAGUGAUCCACGUGUGGAUUUUUGUAUGUGUACUAUGAAUAAGGAUCGGCUAACUCCGUGCCAGCCGCCGCGGUAAUAC
rnacentral:rRNA from 1 species